rnacentral:lncRNA from 1 species
UUGUGACUUAUGGUUUAACGUUCAAUGUUUGCCUAUUUUAACUAUUCAAUUGGCCUAAGAGAUUAGGGGAUUAUAGUGUAAAAUAGUGAGUUAUACACCAUGAGAAUGAGUAUAGUGGCUUAGUUAAACCGUCAUGGUAAUUGAAUUGAUCAUUAUAAGGGUAUUAGACGCUAACAUCCAUAGUGACAUACAAGGGAUUCAA